GACGAACGCUGGCGGCGUGCUUAACACAUGCAAGUCGAACGGAAAGGCCCUGCUUUUGUGGGGUGCUCGAGUGGCGAACGGGUGAGUAACACGUGAGUAACCUGCCCUUGACUUUGGGAUAACUUCAGGAAACUGGGGCUAAUACCGGAUAGGAGCUCCUGCUGCAUGGUGGGGGUUGGAAAGUUUCGGCGGUUGGGGAUGGACUCGCGGCUUAUCAGCUUGUUGGUGGGGUAGUGGCUUACCAAGGCUUUGACGGGUAGCCGGCCUGAGAGGGUGACCGGCCACAUUGGGACUGAGAUACGGCCCAGCCUCCCACGGGAGGCAGCAGUGGGGAAUAUUGCACAAUGGGCGGAAGCCUGAUGCAGCAACGCCGCGUGCGGGAUGACGGCCUUCGGGUUGUAAACCGCUUUCGCCUGUGACGAAGCGUGAGUGACGGUAAUGGGUAAAGAAGCACCGGCUAACUACGUG
rnacentral:rRNA from 1 species